rnacentral:rRNA from 1 species
GUUGACAUACGCCGGAAACCCCCAGAGAUGGGGGCCACUUUAGUAGGUGUACAGGUGGUGCAUGGCAGUUGUCAGCAGGUGUUGUGAGAUGUUGGGUUAAGUUCUGCAACGAGAGCAACCGUUGUCGCAUGUAACCAGCACGUCUCUUAUGCGUUUGGUGGAGGGGUGGUGGGGACUCAUGGGAGACAACUGGGGUCAACUCGGAGGAAGGUGGGGAUGACGUCAAGUCAUCAUGCCCUUUAUGUGCUGGUCUUCACGCACGAUACAAUGAUCGGUACAGAGGGGUGCGAUGAUGCAAGGAGGAGGGAAUCCGUAAAAGCCGGUCUCAGUUAGGACUGGGGUGUGCAACUCGACCCCAUGAAGUCGGAGUCGCUAGUAAUAGCAGAUCAGCAAUGGUGCGGUGAAUACGUUCCCGGGCCUUGUUCACACCGCCGGUCAUGUCACGAAAGUCGGCAACA